UCCCCGGGGGCGCACGGCCGGCCAGAGGGGUUGACCAUCCUGGCGAGCCUGUGGAUAGUCUGGCAUUAAAGCACCCCAAGUUAAGAAGUUCUUAAGGAAAAAGAGUCAAAGGCAAUCAAGCACCUGCAUUUGAUGCUCAUGUCACACCAUCAGGCAGCUCGGCCGGCGAGAGCAGGCGGAGUGUCCAGAGCAGCAGCCGGUGAGUAACAGUGUUCUCCAAACACCCCAGUUCAGCGACGUUCUAGAAGGGCUUCCUAAGGCCGCGGGAAGCAACUGAUCCGUGACAGGGACCAACAGCGUCUGCUAAGGUUUCAAAGCCAGCGGGGUCUUGGAGAAGGCGGGACAGAGCAGACUGAGCUAAACACACCAUGAAACAAAGAAAAUCAAGCCAUUAAUGAAUCACACACACAGGUCCUUAAAAGGAAGUCCAUCGAGAAGGGUGAGGCCUGGAGGCCGGCGCCCCAUCUGCCCUGCCGUGCACCCCAAGGCAGGGCCAAGACAGCCCUGAAAGGGGGGACAGCAAGGGACCCAGGUGCAGGGGGACCCCCGAGUCGUUGUCUGGGCUCUGCAACUGGAG